rnacentral:rRNA from 1 species
UACACUCCUACGGGAGGCAGCAGUAGGGAAUCUUCGGCAAUGGGGGCAACCCUGACCGAGCAACGCCGCGUGAGUGAAGAAGGUUUUCGGAUCGUAAAGCUCUGUUGUAAGUCAAGAACGAGUGUGAGAGUGGAAAGUUCACACUGUGACGGUAGCUUACCAGAAAGGGACGGCUAACUACGUGCCAGCAGCCGCGGUAAUACGUAGGUCCCGAGCGUUGUCCGGAUUUAUUGGGCGUAAAGCGAGCGCAGGCGGUUUGAUAAGUCUGAAGUUAAAGGCUGUGGCUCAACCAUAGUUCGCUUUGGAAACUGUCAAACUUGAGUGCAGAAGGGGAGAGUGGAAUUCCAUGUGUAGCGGUGAAAUGCGUAGAUAUAUGGAGGAACACCGGUGGCGAAAGCGGCUCUCUGGUCUGUAACUGACGCUGAGGCUCGAAAGCGUGGGGAGCGAACAGGAUUAGAAACCCUAGUAGUCCC